rnacentral:rRNA from 1 species
AGUGAACGCUGGCGGUAGGCCUAACACAUGCAAGUCGAACGGCAGCACAGUAAGAGCUUGCUCUUACGGGUGGCGAGUGGCGGACGGGUGAGGAAUACAUCGGAAUCUACUUUUUCGUGGGGGAUAACGUAGGGAAACUUACGCUAAUACCGCAUACGACCUACGGGUGAAAGCAGGGGAUCUUCGGACCUUGCGCGAUUGAAUGAGCCGAUGUCGGAUUAGCUAGUUGGCGGGGUAAAGGCCCACCAAGGCGACGAUCCGUAGCUGGUCUGAGAGGAUGAUCAGCCACACUGGCACUGAGACACGGUCCAGACUCCUACGCGGGGCAGCAGUGGAGAAUAUUGCACGAUGGACGCAAGCCUGAUCCAGCCCUACCGCGUGGGUGAAGAAGGCCUUCGGGUUGUAAAGCCCUUUUGUUGGGAAAGAAAAGCAGCAGGUUAAUACCCCGCUGUUCUGACGGUACCCAGAGAAUAAGCACCGGCUAACUUCGUG